rnacentral:rRNA from 1 species
GAUCCUGGCUCAGAAUCAACGCUGGCGGCGUGCCUAACACCAUGCAAGUCGAACGAGAAAGCUGGUAGCAAUACUGGUGAGUAGAGUGGCGACCGGGUGAGUAACACGUGGAUAACCUACCUCCGAGUGGGGAAUAACCCCGGGAAACUGGGGCUAAUACCGCAUGACAUCCCUGAGUCACAUCGGGGAUCCAAAGCCGGGGACCGCAAGGCCUGGCGUUUGGAGAUGAGCCCGCGUCCGAUUAGCUAGUUGGCGGGGUAAUGGCCCACCAAGGCUUCGAUCGGUAGCCGGCCUGAGAGGGCGGACGGCCACACUGGGACUGAGACACGGCCCAGACUCCUACGGGAGGCAGCAGUGGGGAAUUUUUCGCAAUGGGGGAAACCCUGACGAAGCAACGCCGCGUGGAGGAUGAAGGCCUUCGGGUCGUAAACUCCUGUCGACCGGGACGAAAGUAGUCCGACCCAACACGUCGGGCUAUCGACUGUACCGGUGGAGGAAGCCACGGCUAACUCUGUGCCAGCAGCCGCGGUAAUACAGAGGUGGCAAGCGUUGUUCGGAAUUACUGGGCGUAAAGGGCGCGUAGGCGGUCUUGUAAGUCCCGUGUGAAAGCCCCCGGCUCAACUGGGGAAUGGCACGGGAAACUGCGAGGCUUGAGUUCGGGAGAGGGAAGCGGAAUUCCGGGUGUAGCGGUGAAAUGCGUAGAUAUCCGGAGGAACACCGGUGGCGAAGGCGGCUUCCUGGACCGACACUGACGCUGAGGCGCGAAAGCUAGGGGAGCAAACGG